rnacentral:lncRNA from 1 species
GAGAGGGAAGGAGACACAGCCUCACAUUCUGCACCAUAAAUCUUCCACUCCUCCUUUGUGUUUUUCCCCAGUGUCCUUGGUAAUGUUUGGUUUGAUUGAAGAAGACCUCUUCUCUGUAGCCAGUGGCACAUGGAAACACCUUAUGCUAAAAGAAAGCCAGAAGAGCCACUGGAUCAGCUCUGCUCUCCAGAGCUCUGCAAUGAAGUGAGACAUACUGCCUGCUGCAAAGAAAAUGAACAAGAGAGAUGCGUGGGUCUCCAACUUGCUAAAGUUUUGCAGACCAUGAAAACCAAGGAUGCUGGGUAUGUGAAUUGCAUAGACCAGCAUGCAAUUCUGUAGAUGAACAAGGUUUCAGCUCUACCUCCAAAACUCCUGGUGCUCCUUUUGCUAUUGUCACUUCCCUUGCUGAUCUUGCCUGGACACCUCAAGACAGUCCAAGGACAAGCUGCUGUCUGAGAGACCUGCAUUAUAAAGGUCGCCCAUCUGCACACAGCUGGAGCAGCAGUGAGAGACCAGCCCUGCAGUACACUUACUCAGAGUGGAAGGUCAUCCUGGGCACAACUGGGUUUUCUGGCAAGGUGUUUGGAAACUCCUUUGGGGUACCUGUAAUCAGGAGAACGACUUCACAAAUGUCUGAGCCAAUUUCCCCACACUGCUUCAAACUUGGAAUAGACAGAAAAAGAGUCAAGUUGAUUUAA